UUACCUGAAAUAAGUAAGAACGGCCAGUGAGAUUUGGAAAAGAUGCAUUUGUGCAGGAACUAGGGAAAAUGUCAAGUUAUUGCAGGCAUGAUAUUGACUGGAUAAUAAUCGCUAGGGAGAGAUCUGGUUUAGCUGCUAUCACUCACAAAAUCGAAGCGCAAGACAAAGUUGGUGUCACGCAUAUUGAGUAGGUGAGCUUUUUAUUCAGCUAGCUGACACCCAUCACAAUGCUUUGCACACAAGUGCAGUCAUGAUCCUAGUCUUUUAUCAGGUCAGCAGUUUAAUUUUCUAGAAAUGGAUGUUAAGAGUAGUGAGAUAAUUACUCAUCCCUGAAAUGCUUGCUAAGUUCUAUUGCUAGUCUCCUAGAAUUCAAACACACUUCCUAUUCUUGUUCUACAUAUUUGACAAGAAAAGAUGUUCCAGAGAAGUACAGUCAAAUUACCAGUUGAAGCAUCUUUCAAUGGCUCUUUGCUAUUCUCCCGGAACUUAUGGUGCAUCCAGCCCCAAAACUGCCAGAAAAUAAGCUUUGGUUAGUGUUAGCUACAAGAUAGUUAAUUUUUUUUUUAAGAUAUAGACCAUACCUUCAUUUUUGUGAUUCAGUUGCUACACAAGACUAGAGGAGAAAGUGACUUUUAUAGAGAACAAUGAUUGGUAAAGUCUUAAUGUGGCAGUGAAUUGGUUGCAACUGUAUCUCAAGUCUUUUAGGUUGAUGACAGUGGAGACCAACACCAAGAAAGCUACAAAAUUUUGGUUGGCCAUUCUCUUUCAAGAUCACAUCAAGAACAAGUUGGAGGGCCAUUACGUACAUGAGCCCCUACUGUUGUGAUUACAUGACGCGCAAAUUCAUUGAUGGAGUAGCUAUCCGUAAUUACAAUCAUCAAUCAUCUCAGGAAGCAUAUGGGAGCUCCGUGACAAAACAACGAAGACUUUGGGGCUAGUUGAUUCAGACAAGUGAAGCUGUCCACGACAUCAGGGAAGCAUCUUUUGGGAUGAAAGAAAGGAACAAGGGACAAAGGAACAAACAGAAGUAGGUAGUAUUGUUGGUAUGGGACCAAGAGGGGAAGCAGUACACUUUUGUGCCUGAUUUAAACAAACUUACAAAUGCUAAAUUUUGCAAUCUGGAGUCACUUCCAUUGUUCCCACUCCAUUAUCUUCUAUUUUUUCUUAAGAAUGUGAUAGACUUAUGUCAAAUUCACGUGGACACUCGAUAAGUCGACAUAUCUUCCUUUCCUGUUCCUCAAUCAUAUCUUCUUUUGGUAUAUUUUCCAACAUUUUCACUUUCCUUAUUGUAUCUCCAGUCGACAUUUUUCCCAACUAGAUGAUCUAUUCUCUCUUUUUUCUUAAAACAAAUUUUAAUUACUGAAACCAUAAUAUGUAAUGAUUUCUUUUUUCGUC